GUCACGAUAGCUCAAGUGGUAGAGCAGCGGCCUAUCAAGCCGACGAUCGUGGGUUCGAAUCCCGCUCGUGCCA
rnacentral:ncRNA from 13 species